UCAGGUCAUGUUUAUCUGCCUGUCAGGACUGUUGGAGCACUGGAUGGAGAGCAGGUCAUAUGAGGAGGAUUACGGAGUAAAAGGCAGCUUGUACUGAAGUGCAGGGAAAGUAUAAAUAUUGAUAUAUAUUGGCACAGCGCCUGGCCUUAAUGCUUAAAAUCCUUUGGAGAGCUGUCUGCAUAUUUACUGUAUUAAUGAUCAAAUGCAAGGCUGUGUUGGGAAAGGUCUUCCAUUUGGAAGUCAGUAGUUGAGACUGUCUUGCCUAUGAAAAAGAGGGAGAAUUUUCGUUAGAGGAUGUAGGAUUCUGGCUGGUAAUAGUCUUAAUUCAAGGUAUUUUUAGAGAAUUGAUUUAAUACAAGCAGAACAAAUGGCCAGAAGUGUAACGAGAGACAAGUUGAAAUUAGAAAGUAGAUGUGCAUUUUGAAUGUAUUGUCAUAGCAACUGAUUAAAUUCUCCCUCUCUUGCUGUUCUGGGGACCUUUUAAAUGUGCUUUGGCUAAAUAAAAAGUAUUAGACUAUUUCAGAGCCAAAAGGUCAGUUCUUGUUGUCUCUUUUGCACUUUAAUUCUAGUACACUGAUACUUGCUAACCACUUAUAACCCUAGAUGCAGAAUGAGAACUUGGGUUAUUAACAAUAAAGAAGUAAACAGCAGAAAGACUUGACCUUUCUUUUGAAUUGCCCUACAGUGUUACAAAGUACCAAACAAACCUCCUUCCCCAAAGAAACACCCCCCAAAAUACCCCAACAACUCACCAAACACAAAAUCACCGACAACCAAAAAGCAGAAGUAACAAACAUGAACAGCAAGUGGAGGAAGAGUUUGAAAGCGGGCUGGACAGAAGCAGAAGUGUUACUGCCCACUCUUAGGCCACUGUGCUGAUUAAAUGGGUGUUGUUAGGUUUAGAUUAGUAGUUCGUUGUUGUUGGGUUUUUCGGUGGUGUUGAUUUUUUUUGUUGUCGUUGUGGGGGAUUGUUUGUUUGUUUGUUUUUAUUUUGGUUUUUUUUCUGUAUUAAAAAUCUGGCUCAGUUACUCUCUAGUUCUGGUGUGUUCUCUUUUCCAGGUGGUUGGUGUUUCUGCAGUGUUUGGCACAGGACUGGGGGAGAUUUUUACCCAGCUUUCUAAAGCUGUAGAUGAGUAGGAGAGACUGAAUGCACUCCCUUUAUUCACCUUUUCAGAGAGUAUCGGCCAGAAUACGAGCGCCUGAGAAAAACACUGAAUUGCCACGAGAGGAAAUACUUCAGAGGGGCUUCCCUCCAGAUAAGCCCUGAAUGUGCCAGGAGGUUUCAGCCGGGAGAAAGGAGCUGUGGAAGAAAAGCAGCCUAAAAAUAGCCAGUGGGGAUCAUCAGGUUUUCCAGGCAAGAAGAACAAGGAGAGAGAUGAGGGAAUCGGGUUCCAAUUCCUAAUGAUUUGGUGGGUGCAGGAAUGAUUUGUGUGUGUUUUCCAGUCCCUUUUGAUUCCUGAGAUGAUUUUAAAAUGAUGGCUUUAGCAAUCAACUAAAUCGGAGGUGUUGUUUUUGAGAGGAAAUGAUGCCAAAUAAAUGCAGAGUUUUGGGUCAGUU